UACGUAGGGAGCAAGCGUUGUCCGGAAUCAUUGGGCGUAAAGCGCGUGUAGGCGGUUACAUAGGUCUGCUGUGAAAACUCGAGGCUCAACCUCGAGACGUCGGCGGAAACCAUCUGGCUAGAGUCCGGAAGAGGAGAGUGGAAUUCCUGGUGUAGCGGUGAAAUGCGCAGAUAUCAGGAAGAACACCCGUGGCGAAGGCGGCUCUCUGGGACGGUACUGACGCUGAGACGCGAAAGCGUGGGGAGCGAACAGG
rnacentral:rRNA from 1 species